AAUAAAUAAAUAAAAACAUGUACAAGAUAGGAGACCAUCUUAAAUAAGACUGAAAACCCAGAAACUAUAAAAGAUGUAUAUUUUGCUAGUAAUAAUUACUUUAACUGUAGAAUUAAAUACUUUAAAUAAAGCACUCCUUAGCAAGAAAAAAAUAAACAGGAGAAAAAUAUUAAAGAAUAUUUGUAGGAUUAUUGACUGAAAGAAAUUUAAAAUGAUACAUUCUUUGUUUUUACGAUUUAUAUCAGAGAAUGGGGAAGUUCUGUCAUAGUGGGGAGAGUUAAAGGGAAGGAAAAGGGUAAUUU